ensembl:lncRNA
UUCCUCUACUAUCACGUGAAUUGGCGGCUUGUCUUGCAACUGUAGAACCAUCGCUGCUCCCGAGGCAUAAUCGGCCUCCUUCUUGUCCUCUUGAAGUCACCAAGCCAACGGCAUUCGGUGGGCUGCGGGAGCGUUUGCGCCACCCGAUGCCUCCAAGAAUGCUCGGCAGAGUUUCCUACUUGCAACCAAGGGUGCUUGCACUCGGUCCACCACCCUCGUCUCUUUGGGUCCGCAGAGAAGCCAAGAAGCCACUUUGCCUCAAGAUCUCCAUGUCAAGAUUCAGGUCAGAAACUUGUAUCUCCCAGCCUCAAGAUCAGGAUCACAGCUGGGGACCGAACCCAGGGCCUUGCACCACUGCUCACUUCUAAGCACGACUUCACAUGCUACCUGGAGCAAUGGGCUGUUGCCUUAACAACCUGACCACAAAAGUUCACACCUGCCAACUUUAAGGAAUGCAAACAGGACCCAGGACUGAGGCCUUCGAAGGAGCUCUUCUAGCUCCAGUCCACUGUCCCUCCAUUCCACUCCAGUGUUGGAGUGCUUAUUCCAGAAAGAUCCAGUAACAAGUUCUUUUUUUUUUUUUCUUUUUUUCCUUUUUUUCCGGAGCUGAGGACCGAACCCAGGGCCUUGCGCUUGCUAGGCAAGCGCUCUACCACUGAGCUAAAUCCCCAACUCCCACUAACAAGUUCUUAAGAACUUAGUGGGUCCUUCUAGACAGGUGAUUUGAUAGCUGGUUCUUAACCUAGAUUGUAGGACAGAUUUAGGGAGCCCCUGAUCCCACCAAAAUUGUGGGCUUGGGGUUUCUUCCUUUCCACUCAGUUUCCAGAACUUUCAAGUUCUCCUCUAAACAAAACCUGUUGUCUUAGCUAUGUUCUUGGCACAUUUUAAAAACAUAUUUUAUGAGACAGGCCACCGUGUCUUUAAUCCCAGGUUUUGUAGAUCUCUGAGUUCCAGGAUGGCCUGGUCUACAAAAAAAUACUGUCUCAAGAAAAAACCAAAAAGACAAGCUG